rnacentral:rRNA from 1 species
UACGUAGGGUGCGAGCGUUGUCCGGAAUUAUUGGGCGUAAAGAGCUCGUAGGCGGCCUGUCGCGUCGGAUGUGAAAGCCCGGGGCUUAACCCCGGGUCUGCAUUCGAUACGGGCAGGCUAGAGUGUGGUAGGGGAGAUCGGAAUUCCUGGUGUAGCGGUGAAAUGCGCAGAUAUCAGGAGGAACACCGGUGGCGAAGGCGGAUCUCUGGGCCAUUACUGACGCUGAGGAGCGAAAGCGCGGGGAGCGAACAGG